UGGGGUCACUUCUAUAAUGCUGGCUGUAACUAACAAAGACGUGGAAGAUCUGCAGAGGGACACCGGCCUGGCACAUCUCCCUUUCUAGAAGAUGCAUACUUAAAUGAAGAUGAAUAAAGAUGAAUAAAGGUUUUGUGAAAUAACUACUGGGUUCCGGUGCCAUCUCUGGAUGCCCGGGGAAUAAAAGAACCAGGGUAAAAUUGAUUUCUCAACAAGACUCAAGCGUUUUGUAUCACUGUACAUUGAAGCUUUUUAUUACAAACAAUUUACAAUACUGAAAAAAUGACAGGAAGUAUUGUUUUCUGAAGUAACAAAGCAAAAGACCGCUGUCUCUCUUCAGUUGCUGAAAUACUCCACAAGAGACCCGAGUCAUGACAGCAAAUUGUCAGGGGUUGCUGAGUGGAUGUGGAGAAAAGGACUCAAACGCAGGACUCACGGUGAAGAUGCAGGAUGUUUAUUGUGAGGGACGAAUGACGAAAACAGGAGAUGGCUGACUGACUGACUGAAUAACUGAAUAACUGAAUGAACGGCUGACUGAUCUGAACUUGGGAGGCAAACAUGGGGCAUAGACAGCAGUGACAACAUUAAUGACGCGACGCCGACCAAGAGAGAACUGAGGACUUAAAUACACUGGCUGAACAAUGACUGAUAGGUGACAGAUCUAGAAAAAGAGAGACAGGGACAUGAGCUCUGAACUGUAAGCAUGGUCUGCUUCUUUUGUGUCCGGUGAAGGAGCAAACAAUGGAGAGGGCGGUGAUGUUCCAUCAUUCAUGUUGUGUAUAGACACAACCUGUGACGCCUCGCUGCUGUGUUGCCUUACUGCUGUGCUGCCUUACUGCCUUACUACCGUGGUGUCUCGCUGGUGCCAUUAAAGGACCGGCGGCUGCCAUCCAUUCAUCCAUCCGGACCUCGAUUAUUUGGACCGAAGUACUCACACACACGCCCGCACUCAGUGCCAUACACUCUCUUUAUUUUGCUGGCCAGCUAACACCAUUGUUUUUUGUUUUUUUUGUUUUGUUUUUGCAUUCACAAAGACUAUCCAAAGACAUUUUGGUUAUUGUCAAAUAGACACUCUCUGAUUACGGACUGAGGAGGUUGUGGUGUUACAACCCCAGGACUGAGAAAAAAAAGACUCUUUACAUAAUAUAUUCACUUGUCUCCUGGUUAGGAGAAGUGGCUAUUGAUGGAAAUAUUUUUUUUCUUCUUCUUGUCUUUGUUUACAUUGUAUCCCAGAGAAGUUUUAAGUUGUUCAGGUUGAAACAUUUGCCCUUAGAGUUGGUUAAGUUUCCUUUGAUGUAUCAGUGUCAAGCUGAUGUUUAAGAGGGUAUGUUAAGGACAGAUGUGCUCCAGUCCAUCAAUCCUUUAAAGUGCUGGACACCGAUGGUAAAUUGCCAUCAGACCCUAAAUAAAUUGUCCUC